AGGACGAACGCUGGCGGCGUGCUUAACACAUGCAAGUCGAGCGGUAAGGCCUUUCGGGGUACACGAGCGGCGAACGGAUGAGUAACACGUGGGUGAUCUGCCCUGCACUUCGGGAUAAGCCUGGGAAACUGGGUCUAAUACCGGAUAUGACCUCCUAUCGCAUGGUGGGUGGUGGAAAGAUUUAUCGGUGCAGGAUGGGCCCGCGGCCUAUCAGCUUGUUGGUGGGGUAAUGGCCUACCAAGGCGACGACGGGUAGCCGACCUGAGAGGGUGACCGGCCACACUGGGACUGAGACACGGCCCAGACUCCUACGGGAGGCAGCAGUGGGGAAUAUUGCACAAUGGGCGAAAGCCUGAUGCAGCGACGCCGCGUGAGGAUGACGGCCUCGGGUUGUAACUCUUCAGCAGGACGAAGCGCAAGUGACGGUACCUGCAGAAGAAGCACGCCUAACUACGUGCCAGCAGCCGC
rnacentral:rRNA from 1 species